rnacentral:lncRNA from 1 species
CGUGGUUAUUAUUAUUCCUGUUUUACAGAGAAGGAGACUGAGGCUCAAGACAGCCGAGGGGACUUGCUCAGGGCACCCGGCUAAGACUUGACAAAAUCCAGAAUGUGCUACCGGUCUUCGUGGCUCCUCAGGCCUCCCCUUCACUGUGCUUCACUGUGUAGUCAUCUCGCUUCCUCCAAAUGUGGCCGCACAAUUUGGAGACCACACAAAGAUCAUCAGGGUUCUGCUUGAUAGAAAAUACAGAAUACAGAAGAGGUGAUGAAAGGAUAAAGAUGCUGGUAAUCUUAUCAUUGGGUGGAUGCAGUAUUAACCUCCCCUCUGUUCUGCCACUCCACACCCCAUGCUCUGGGCACCCAGGACAUAAUUCCCUGCUAAAAUAUCCCCAAAUCUAUUUCCAGGGCCUACCUAGG